GACGAACGCUGGCGGCGUGCUUAACACAUGCAAGUCGAACGGAAAGGCCCUGCUUUUGUGGGGUGCUCGAGUGGCGAACGGGUGAGUAACACGUGAGUAACCUGCCCUUGACUUUGGGAUAACUUCAGGAAACUGGGGCUAAUACCGGAUAGGAGCUCCUGCUGCAUGGUGGGGGUUGGAAAGUUUCGGCGGUUGGGGAUGGACUCGCGGCUUAUCAGCUUGUUGGUGGGGUAGUGGCUUACCAAGGCUUUGACGGGUAGCCGGCCUGAGAGGGUGACCGGCCACAUUGGGACUGAGAUACGGCCCAGACUCCUACGGGGGGCAGCAGUGGGGAAUAUUGCACAAUGGGCGGAAGCCUGAUGCAGCAACGCCGCGUGCGGGAUGACGGCCUUCGGGUUGUAAACGGCUUUCGCCGGUGACGAAGCGUGAGGGACGGUAAUGGGUAAAAAGCACCGGCUAACUACGUG
rnacentral:rRNA from 1 species